rnacentral:rRNA from 1 species
GGGUUGCGGACAGUGUCUGGUGGGUAGUUUGACUGGGGCGGUCUCCUCCUAAAGAGUAACGGAGGAGCACGAAGGUUGGCUAAUCCUGGUCGGACAUCAGGAGGUUAGUGCAAUGGCAUAAGCCAGCUUGACUGCGAGCGUGACGGCGCGAGCAGGUGCGAAAGCAGGUCAUAGUGAUCCGGUGGUUCUGAAUGGAAGGGCCAUCGCUCAACGGAUAAAAGGUACUCCGGGGAUAACAGGCUGAUACCGCCCAAGAGUUCAUAUCGACGGCGGUGUUUGGCACCUCGAUGUCGGCUCAUCACAUCCUGGGGCUGAAGUAGGUCCCAAGGGUAUGGCUGUUCGCCAUUUAAAGUGGUACGCGAGCUGGGUUUAGAACGUCGUGAGACAGUUCGGUCCCUAUCUGCCGUGGGCGCUGGAGAACUGAGGGGGGCUGCUCCUAGUACGAGAGGACCGGAGUGGACGCAUCACUGGUGUUCGGGUUGUCAUGCCAAUGGCACUGCCCGGUAGCUAAAUGCGGAAGAGAUAAGUGCUGAAAGCAUCUAAGCACGAAACUUGCCCCGAGAUGAGUUCUCCCUGAGACUUAGAGUCUCCUGAAGGAACGUUGAAGACGACGACGUUGAUAGGCCGGGUGUGUAAGCGCAGCGAUGCGUUGAGCUAACCGGUACUAAUGAACCGUGAGGCUUAACCUUACAACGCCG